UACAGAGGGUGCGAGCGUUAAUCGGAAUUACUGGGCGUAAAGGGCGCGUAGGCGGUUAUGUGAGUGUGAUGUGAAAGCCCUGGGCUUAACCUAGGAAGUGCAUCGCAAACGACAUAACUGGAGUAUAAGAGAGGGUGGCGGAAUUUCCGGUGUAGCGGUGAAAUGCGUAGAGAUCGGAAGGAACGUCAAUGGCGAAGGCAGCCACCUGGCUUAAUACUGACGCUGAAGCGCGAAAGCGUGGGGAGCGAACAGG
rnacentral:rRNA from 1 species